GUGCCAGUCUAUCCAAUGCUCCACACGUCUCCUCCUGCAACGUUACCAAAACCCAAACCCAAACCUCCGGUGGCCCCCGCGGACGACAUCCAGUUACCACCAGUGGGUUACAACCGAAGGACGCCGCCUAAUGGCUAUUGGACCCCGCCUCCAAAAUACGAAGAUAUCUUCGCUCGACGAUCAAAUCCUCCUCCGUCGCCACCAAGAGACCAGGAUGUGGUAGUAGCAGACCUUGAUAAAGAAAUAGCAGGGCUAGAGGGCCUUAUGAGAGAUCUUAAUGAAAUCACUGCCGGAGAUUAUUUGGUCUGACAUGGUCGAGAAGAAGACGAAGAACAGAGAAAGUAGCAGGAAAACUGUUGGUUUACUCCCGACCAGUGGCAUCGUCAUGAUAUGUUGUUUCGGUUUGCAAACAGUCCUCAUCCUAAGCUUGAGAAGGUGGUCUACACAGCCCGGUGCAGCACCCAAAUGAAUAACCGGACAAACAAAAAGGCGUUGAAUCCUAUAAACUAGAGAUUUAUUAAGUAUUUUACAUUUAUUAACGACAAAAAGUAAUUUUGUGUGUGUAUGUAUUAUGUUUGUAAUAUGUUAUACCCGGUUAGCAAGUCUUCUGUCAUAGCGUCUGUGAACACAGCAACCGUUCAUCGUUGGUUACUCGAUAUUUUCCGCAGUUCUUUACCCUGGGUAUUACGGUUCUGCUUUCAAAAUCGGACCAUCCUAUCAGACAACACAAAGCUCACGAAAUAGUUAUUUUAUUUUUGUGUUGAGUAUAGAGAUUUGAUUCAUUUGACGUCAAAUAAGGAGAUGAUAUAUAAAAAUUAUUUUUGAGUAUGUAAUAGCAAUUCAUCGGGGACGAAUAUAUAUUUUUGGAUUGGUUAGCGCCUACGAUCAGAUUAGGUUUAAUUAAGUAACUAUCUUCAGUUAUUUGGUGCAUAGCACCUCUGUAGUAGACGCUCAGCUGCUUGCCCACUAGUUUAACUCGUGUGCAGCAUGUGAAUGACAAGCCCACACUUGUGACAAGGUGGUUCUGGACGAGAAAUCUGCGCGAAAUAAACGUCUAGUCCACCUGCGAUGCUAAAUAGUUGGUCAGCGAGGUUGCUUAGCAACGUGAUGUCACUACCCGCAAUUGUCCAGUUACGUGAUACAAAAAACUUCGCAGAAACUGUUCUUCGAUCGGUCAAACAAAAAUAGCAAUAUUUCUGUAAAUAUUAUCUGAUGACAUAGAAACCUCAGAACAGAGCAUAGUAAAUAUUACUCUCAUCAUAGUACCUAUAUGUUGAACGAGCUUGCAGUUUGUUCCCAAAAUUACAAUUCUGCUGAAGUCAAAAGUCAAUUUGAUUCUUGAAGUUGAAAGAACUUUACAGCUGUUAGUCUUAUGUUAGGGGAUAUGUUAGUGCUCAACGUGGCAUACUCGACCGUGAACAAUGUUUAGGGCUUUUCAGUGUGGCGGGAGUUAUUUCGUAGGAUACCUAGUGAGAACGUUUUGUAUUUUUACAGGAAAAAAUAUUUUUGGUAGACUUGCCACUGUUGGACGCCAGUUUACAGAUCAAGCGCGUAUAUUGAAGGUUGCUUGUGAUAUUCAUCGCAAACUUGUAUAGAAAAAUAAUUCUUGUAUGUAAUAAAAUUUACUCAGACGUUGACACA